CUCUUAGAAGAAGAGGCUAAAGAAGCAAUGUUCUUUGUACCUUGCAAGGCUUUUUGCAUCUUGAAAUGCUUACAAGGACUAUAGGGUAUCUCUGCAUUGACGUGUUAUCUGAAAAGGGGAUAAGAGCUGAUCCAGAUCAACACAAGCUUGGACCUCCGUCGUCUUCUUGACGGACAUUAUUUACCUACUCGGAAUUGACGCUGGACUGGCUGACUGACUACGACCUGGGACUACCCUUUCUUGACUAUCGUUGGAAUUCGUGGAAUCUAAGACGCCUGCACCUGGUAAUCGACCUCGGACCGGACUGGGACCCCGCUGACCGCUGCAAUCCUUGAUUGAUGUGUUUGGACCCGGAGUUCGCCCGCUGCACGGAGGAGUAACAACUUAGUUGCUCAACCACAGCUAUUGAGUAGCAGAGAGGAAUCUGCUGCUAGUAUUUAUGUUCUAUUGAAUCUUUGUUUACCAGCUUUUGUUUGUUUAUAGUCCCAGGCUGAAGUAAGCGUUUUUGGUUUAACCCGGAUUAAACUCCUGUUUAAUCCGGUUUAUCUUUUGAACCAUUUUUGAGUGACUUUUCAUAUUGAAGGCGAGUGUUUGCCUAGCUCUUUGUUUUUUACGAGCAUUUUUGGUUCUUUAUCUUUAAUAAACUGUGUCGAAUCUUAUCUACUGGCGUUCUGUCCUUGACAGACACCUUCCCACUUCUGCAGCGACCAAGGACUUGGCAGUCAAACCAUCCCAGGACUGAUCCAAGAUCCAAUACCCUGGAUCAUCCCCAAGAUAAAGUGUCAGUGUAGAUGUAUCCAGAAUUUUCUACUUUAGUUUCUAUAGUUCUCUAUACUGCUAUAAUGUAUAUGCCAGAGGGUUAUCCUAUCCUCUACAGAACAUUUUCAAGAUACAAAAGUGGAUUCCAGAGUGGACAAGAAAUCACAAUAUUGUUUAAAAGGAUGUUUUGAUACAUGCAAAUUACUGAGAUGAUAUCACAAUUCUAUUAAAUAUCUCUGCACUGAUCCCAACAUUGGUCUUACAGUUGCAGAUGGCUCAUUUUGCAUAUAAGUUGAGCGAACUUCUCAAAUAUCUGUAUCCUAUUGCAAUAAUUCUAUAGCUAUAUGUUGUACCUGGAUUUAGAACAUCUGCUCAUGAUAACUAUUAGGCUUGUCUGAUCGAUGGAAAAAAUGUUUCAAUUCUCGUUUCUAAAGUAGGGGGUGCCGGCGCUUCAAUAUAGAAAUUAUUUCUGAAUUUUUCACCCAAAACUUUCAGAUAUUUCCAAAAAUUCGUAAUGUUUCUAAAAUGUUUCUAAAAUGGCGGACGCGCAUGCGCAAUCGCCAAAAAAAAUAGAAAAUGGGGGGGACUUUUACAGGGCUCUCCCACCCUCAUUUCUUGAGCUAUCCUCAUCGAAUUUGGUACAGUGGGAGAUCACAUUCAACACUCUUUGCCCAACAAAUUGCAGAACGUUUCCUGUCUCCUAUGAUUUUUGGCGAAUUUUCAUAACUUUUUAUAAUACACUAUUUUUCAAUAUUUGAAGAAACCUGUCCCUGGUUUGAAAGUCUUAUUUCCUGUUCAAUUGGGUUCUUAUCACUGUAAAAGUCCCUCUUCUACUUGUGUAGACUUUGGAUUAGAAACGCAGCACACGCCAAGCAAUGCCUUGGCAGGAGUGCCACUGUCCUUUGGAAACUAUAAAUUGCCUUUGAACCUUUUGAUCAAUGGUGCCACUGGCUGACCUUGUGAGUGCAAAAAUGAAACUCUGGCUGAGGACUUUGGAUUAGAAAUGCAACACACGCCAAGCAAUGCCUUGACAGGAUUGGCAAUGUCCUUUGGAAACUAUAAAUUGCUGUGGACCCUCUAUUGAAUCAAAUCAAUGUCUGACUUUGUGAUUGCAGAAAUAAAACUCAGCCCAAGGCUUGGGAAUAGAAAUGGAGCACGAGGGAAGCAAUGCCUUGGCAGGAGUGCCCACGUCCUUUGGAAACUAUAAAUUGCUGUGGACCCUCUAUUGAAUCAAAUCAAUGUCUGACUUUGUGAUUACAGAAAUAAAACUCAGCCCAAGGCUUGGGAAUAGAAAUGGAGCGCAAGGGAAGCAAUGCCUUGGCAGGUGCCCCACGUCCUUUGGAAACUAUUUCUUCCAAUGUACCCUUUAGGUUUGAAAACAAUGUGUGCCUUUGUGAUUGCUGCAAUAACACUCAGCCCGGGGGCUUGGGAUGACAAACGGAGCGGGAGGGAAGCAAUGCACUUGCAGGAACGCAGACGUCCUUUGGAAACUAUUAUUUUCAAGUCCCCCCCCCUUUCAGGAUUGCAAAGAAGGGCUGAUGAGGUGAUUGCUAAAUUCCAAAAAAGAAAACAGAAAGGCAAAGGGACUCCCUCUGGAGUAGAAAAGUAAAGCACCCCAAGCUCUGCACUUGCAGGAACGCAAACGUCCUUUGGAAAAUAAAAGUUUCCUAAAGCCACAGCAAGGACUCUGCCACAAGCCCCAAGCCAAUUUCCCAAAAAAAAACCCCACAAUAUCGAACCAGCAACAACAGACAGACACUGUACCCCCUAUAGCCAGAACAGUCACUUAGCCCUCCCUCCCCCAAGCAAGCAAGCAGCUUCCCAGCGUGCGCGAACCACCCUCUCUGCUCGGUAUCCUAGCCCAGAAUGGCUUGGCUCAGUUGGGGAGGGGAUUUUUAUAGAGAUCCUCCACGUGGACGCGGAGGACACU